rnacentral:rRNA from 1 species
UUUGUGAACUGCAGGACACAUGAACACCGACACGUUGAACGCAUAUUGCGCAUCGGACGUUUAAACCCGACCGAUGCACACAUCUUUGAGUGCCUACCAAAUCCUUGUUUACACAAUCCUUAACUACAUGGCGCGCGUGCAGCGAACAUAUAACACUCUGGCGUACAAACCGCCGAGUGUCGCUGGCCAACACGUUAGCGCACUGUGCAUAAUGGCGUGCUUGGUACCCCCUGAUUGGGGGGGGACCUAGGGCGCUGAAAUGGUAAGGCGGUACUGUUACCUGAAGGGUGCGGGUCAAGUCGCACGGUUCGAACUUUGGCUUUAAGACAACCUGGAAGCACCGGCAGCCUACUAACACCAGGCUUGCCGUCUGUUGUCAGGACCCGCCGUCUGGCCGAGUCGUGUAAUGCGUGUGACCCAUACCCGUCACCAACCUAUGUGCAGUAUGUGCUACUAUAUUUACCAUUCACCCAAUAAKUAAGCCUCAAGWGAUGUGUGAGAACCCCCUGAWUUAAG